rnacentral:lncRNA from 1 species
GGGCACUCGAGCAGGUUUAGCUGAUGGCUUUAUGCAGAUUCUUUUCAAAAGAAGGCUCCGAGGUUGACAGUGUCCUCAUUGAUAGGGGCUAAAAAGUGCAAGGAACUUCUGAGGUCUAAAGAUAGGUGCAGGUAGCAAGCAGGCAGCAGGCAGCACAGUGCUGUGGCCAAUUAUACAAGAUAACAGUCCCUGGAAGAAACUGCAAAACUGCAUAAAUAAAAGACGCGGCUCUGGAAAAUGCUGUGCCACUGCCACAUCUGCAAUGAAAACGCGAGAACACAGAAUUUGAAGGAUGUGACAGCUGAUAUAAAACAAGACUGCUGAAAACAGAUGUUUUCAUAUAACUUCUCUUUCAGAUAGUAGGUCCUGAAGGCUGUGUGAUUCAGUGCUUCUAGUGCAGUGUGAGACUGGAAACUGAAUAUGUCCUGACUAAAGGAAAAAAAAAUGGAGUUGUGCAGCAUGGGCCUUCCUAUCAUUUCCUUGGAUUUCUUGCAGCCAGGUGGCUGUUAGGCUUGUCCCCAUGAAGAGCCUCCUGAAGUCAGUCCCAGAAUCUGCAGUGCGUGACGUGACAAAUGCUUCCUGUUUUGUCUCUUUUGAGGUCUUGUGGAGCCCUUUGUUGGCCUGAUCAGUUUGACGAGUGUAGCCAGUACCCAAUGACAACUUAGAAAAGAGCAGAAGAAAUGAGAGCUUUGUGGCAGGAAGUGUUACAGAGCUAUAGACACUUACAGCCCUGCGCCUAACUAGGCAGCUAUUGAGGUGAACCAAUGGCAUCCUGAAGAGAAACAUUACUUAGGAUAAAGUAAACACUUGUAGUAAAUUUAGGUUCCUACCCAUGCCCCUUUAAAUAUCCUCCCUGGGACAGGAUCAAAACAACCUAGAAAUGUGUGAAAUGCAAAGAAACAGUGCUGAUUUGCUGUGGUUUUGCUGGGCCCUCCAUAUGGGCUAUUGUGCCUCAGUUAUUUAGGAUGGCAGCCAUCAGCCCAGAAUGUGCCUUGCUAAGGGAAAGUCCCUAGUUACUGCUGUAGCAGUACUGCAGCGCUGAGGGAACUUCAAUGCCUGUGGCUGCCCACCCGGUACCUGACGUUGUUCAGCCUCAACACCACGUAGCUCUGCCAUUCCUCGCUCCUUAGGUGCCUGUACUCUGGCACUUGGAAAAAAUCAGACCAAAUGGCAGACUCACUUCAAGCAGAGACCAUUGGCUGUGUGUUGUGGGCUUCAGAGAUUCUCUAAAUUGUAUUUAAAAAAAAAAAAUAGAGGACCAUCUGCAAAUACUCGGCUUGUAUCCACCUUCAGACAACAGCCCUGCUACUGAGCUAGAUGGAGAAGCUCUCCUUUUUACUGAGAG